ACGGCCAUACCAUGCUGAAUAUACCGGUUCUCGUUAGAUCACAGAAGUCUCAAGCAUCAAUGGGCGCGGUCAGUACUUGGGUGCGUGACCACCUGGGAACACCGAGUGC
rnacentral:rRNA from 1 species